GAGGGCCGUAAAGCGCGGAAGGUCGCGGUCUCUCCCGCUUCCCCGGAACUUUUUACUCCCUCCGCCCCGCCCCCUUCCCAUUCCCAGUGCCCCGUUUCUGGCGGCGGGACCCCCGGCAACUGUUGUGGCUGCUGUCCCGUUGCCGCCGGGGUGCUGCUGACGGCGGAGCCCGCGGCGGCCCGUGAGUUUGAAUUGGGGAGAAUCUCCUCUUUGGCCGAGUGGGAGCACAUCUCCGAGCUGCUGACUGGCAGACGUGAUGUUUUCCCGGUUGCUGUCGGUGGCCCGGAGACAAAGGACCGGCCGAGGAUGGCAGAACUGGUCGUCGGGGAGAAGCGGUGCGCCAGCUGCCGAGGCGCAUUCUGUCGCCCUGCCUGCCCAGGCACAGGUGGUCAUCUGUGGCGGUGGAAUCAUGGGCACAUCCGUGGCCUAUCACCUCUCCAAGAUGGGCUGGAAGGAUAUUGUCCUUUUGGAGCAGGGCAGGCUGGCCGCUGGCUCUACGAGGUUCUGUGCCGGCAUCCUGAGCACCGCCAGGCACUUGACCAUCGAGCAGAAGAUGGCAGACUAUUCCAACAAACUCUACCAGCAGUUAGAGCAAGAAACAGGGAUCCAAACAGGUAAGCAGGUACCCUGCCAUUUACUGGUCUGCCUGUGGCCCGGACUCUUUCACUCAGUACCAUAUGCGGUCCGACACCAAGCCUGCCUGGGGAUUUUAGUUGAGGCUUGAGUUUCAGUCCGAGCUCUGCACUCGUCCUGGUCUUACCUCGGGCAAGUGUGUGAGCGUGUUGAGCUGUCUGCCGUUUCCUUAUCUAUCGAGGGGAUUCGGUCAUUAUCUCGGAUCCUAUCCAGAUGCCAGAAUUCCUAUGAUGUGAAAGGUUUCCUGUGCCAUUUCCUAUUUCACUCUCUGAAGUAUAUAUUAGGUGGCCACAUCUGGCUCCUGAAGGAGGAAGAGAAGGAAGUGCUUAAGUUUUGGUGCUUGACAGUGAAAUCAUAGUCUGAGCCACUGAAUUUCACCAGUUGCGCUUAAGGAUAUUUGUGACUGUAAAGCUUAAGCGUAUGUUACCCCUUGUGUGCGUCCCCAAGGGAAAGGAACCCGGGGAAUCGUGAGCCGAAUACGACCGGAGCAAGUAGGACGGGGAGACCAGGCUAUGGGGCGGUCCCAUAUGAAAACAAGUAGGAAGCAGGUCUGUCAGCUUGUCGCGAGGUGACGGACUAGCCAGAAGCCCAGGGUUGAGCCUGUGUCGUAGCUGGUGAAACCGUUUGGUGGCCGCGGGAAUUGCCCUAAGCGAGUAGCUGGGCCUAGUCGCUCGUGUAGCUCAGGGCUGCUCUUCAGAACACCUGCGUGAUUCAAAUCACAGGGAAGUCAAGACCCCUCCUGACAAGGACGGUAGCUCGAUCUGUGUGCCAGCUGAGGUGGCUCUGCCAUGUGGUCACGGGGUACGCACGGCCUGUGGCUCACUUUGCCGGCCAACUGGAAAUUAUGUGGCGUAUGACACAGUUUUCACUGGGGAAGGUGAGAUUAUAAUCAUUAGAGAUUCUGACGACAGACUACGGUUUUAUAGCUUCCCUUUCAUAUAAUUCGCACUCUGGUGAAGUGUGACGUUGUUUGUCAAUUCUGGGUUAAGAUGAGCGUCCUGUAACAGGAUUGGGUAGAUGUGGCAGUGGAUAAGGGGAGAUGCCAGGAGAGGAGCUACAGGCAGGCAGGAAGAGGCUGUACGUGCUUGGGCACGUGAGCACGGUUCCCCGGCCGGCCCUAUGCUGGCCCAGUGCUGAGAGCGGGUCCUCAGCCGCCUCACCCUGGUCCCUGCCCGGUAGAUGAGCCCGACUCCCGUGGUGUCCUCGCUCUCGGCCAGGCUUGCUUUUGAGAGGCGAGGACUCGCGAGUGAAGAUGGUAAAUGUGCGUGGUGCCUGCCGCUGCACCGUCUCUGGCUUCUGUUAGGGAAGAUGCGGGAUACGUGCAGGACAGGCGGGAAGAGUCCCUCUGGGUUGGAUUUAACUUGAUGGCAACCGGUACUUGAAUCGGGUAUCUACCAGGGAUUGAGUCAGCAGAGGGUCCGUGUAAUGGGCCCAGCGCCAGAACUGCUGACUUCCGGUCCACUGGUUCAGUUCCUCGUGCUUUGCCGGGCCUUGUUUUUAUGGCUCAGAGCCCCUGCUGAGUUCCCUCCUGUGUCGGAUGCCAGAACUGGAGACUCUGGAGAUCGUGAAGUUGGUCAACUGCCCCGAGACCUUCACCCCAGACAUGAGGUGCAUCAUGGGCGAGUCUCCUGCAGUGCAGGGCUACUAUGUCCUAGUGGGAGUGAACUCUGCUGGCCUGUCGUUUGGAGGAGGGGCUUGAAGAGACAGAAAACCAAGAAGGCAGAAGGUUGGCGAAGGAUAAAAAUAGGUACGUCUAAAUAUGAGGAAGAAAGCCCAUGAAGAAAUGUGUAAUUCUCCAAGGGAUGCAGAUUCUCUGCUCAGAAGUCAAGAAUCGUAUUAUACAAUGACUAAACUCUGGUGUUUAAUGGACAAAGAGAAGGCAAAGACAUACAAAAAUAGUUCUCUUGAAAAAUAGUGCAUCUGUAGUGAUGAGGGAGUGUGAACCCAGGUCCUGUAUGGAUGAUGGAGGAGCCUUACAACUCAGCACCUUAACAUGGAGGCCAGGGUGGGGGUCGCGGGGAGAGGCACAGCCAGGAGACCCAGAGCUUGCUCCCAGACUCUGUCACCUACCCUAUCAUCCCCUCUGACAAUUCUUGACUCGUGCAAAUUUUCCCUUUUUCAUGCUGAUGAAAAGCUGCUCCUGGCAAGUUUGGGAGGGAUGUGGGUUAAGGGUGGUGUGCAGAAAGGAAAUGAAAACCAUGGAAAGUUCUUCAGUACUAAGCACUAGUGACCAAACCCCUACCUCAGAUGCUAAAGGGGACCCUUGCUGAUGAUACUGACCAUGCAGCUGCAGAGAUACAAAACACUGAACCUGGUCGCUAACCCUUAAAAGCAAAGCCAGUGCAGCUGUACCAGGACACAGCCUUCUGGGGUCAGAACCUGGACUACAGCUUAUGGAAGAUUCCCUUUUAUCUCCCUUAGGUUGUCAGAGGAUGGUGAAGACUCAGAUGCCAGCAGACGCGUUCAUCAGGCAGAGGAUAAGAAGAGCCAGAAAUCAAGGUGAUAAAACAAGACUGUCCAGUUGAUUAUGUGGACAAGACAGAAGAACACAGAGCCCCUCCCUCAAGAGACCAUAAGAAGAGAUGAAGGAUCAUUUCACAGAGAAAAAAGUACCAGCCAUCUGAAACCCAAGUCCUGCCA